UUAAUACCGACAAGCGACUUCCUUUCGAAGGGUGAAUUCUAUGCGGCUGGGUUGACAGCCCACGUGUGAAUUGUCAAUAGGGUUAAGGUACUGCAAGAUGCGAUGUCAAUCAACUUGCCAAUGGUUCAUCCUUGGCCAAACCUAGAGGAGACUCUAGCAAUUUGAGAAAUGAGCUUGGUAGAAAUGCCAUGACCCAUGUUUGGAAUGAGACAAACACUAAGUUGUCGACAUACAAAUAAAUAUAAAUAUAAAGUCAGAAUAAAUAACAACAACAACAAUAAUAAUAAUUUAGUUUCUCCAGUUAAAAGCUAUGGAAAUGCAGAGGUUUUUAAAGAUGAGGUAUUAAAAGAUAAUAGGGAUCUAUCAGGUGUUUAUCGAUGGGUUAAUAAUCUUAACGGCAAAACAUAUGUAGGUAGUGGAGUAAAUCUAGCCAAAAGAUUGGGUAGCUAUUAUAAUAAAAACGAAUUAAGUAGAAACCCUAGACCUAUCCUAGAUGCUUUACUAAAAUAUGGCUACAACAAUUUUACGUUGGAGAUUUUAGAGUAUUGUCCCAAAACUAAACUGCUUGAGAGAGAACAAUUUUAUCUUGAUUUAUUGGUUCCGGAAUAUAAUAUAUUAAAAUACGCAUAUUCCUUACUAGGUUUUAAACAUAGUAAGGAGAGCAUAGAAAAGUUAAAAGCUAAAAUUAUAUCUCCUGAGCAUAAAGAAAUAUUGUCUACGGUUCAUAAGGGAAAACUUGUUAGUGAUGUGACCAGAAAUAAACUGGCCGCUGCUACUGCAAGUUAUAGAAAAAAUAACCCUUUAACACCAGAGGCUUUGGCUAAUAUAAAAGCUAAAACUCUCGCUCGUGAAGGAGUAUCUGUUUCAGUCCUGAAUACUGAAACAAAUGAAGUAAAAGAGUUUACAAAUCAAACGGAAGCGGGUGUAUUUUUGGGGGUUACAAGGCAAGCAGUUUAUAAUGCUAUAAAAAGAGGUUCGCCUAUUAAUGGUAUAUAUCUUAUAACAAAAACAUAACAAACACAAAAAAAAAAUUACUUAAGCUUCAGUUAAUAUUUGAAGCCAGGUUAAAAUCUGUUGUCUAAAUGGGUAGUUAGAUAUAAUAAGAUAAUAUCUAACUACUUAGGGAGAAGUACCUUACUUUGCGUUAAGGCAAAAAGGUAGAUCUGUGUAUGUCUAAAGGGAAACAGCCCAGAACAAGAGUUAAGGUUCCAAAAUUAUUGUUAAGUGAAACUAAGGAAGUUUCUAUCUAAUACAACUAGGAAAUAGGCUUAGAAGCGGCUAUUUUUUGAAGACCUCGUAACAGAGCACUGGUUUAGUAAAAACUUUACAUUGAUAGUUGCACCGAAAAUUUAACGGAUCUAAACAAUAUACCGACACCUUGUCCAUAUUGUUAAAUAUAAUAUAGAAUUUAACUAUGGGGUAGCAGAACGUUGGGUAAAUCUUAGACAUAUUCUUUUUAAGAAUAUAGAGUAAUAACGAGUAAUAUCGUAUGAGAGCCCUGAAUUAAUGGUAACCCAAGUGAGAAUGCUGACAUGAGUAACGAAAAAGGGUCCCUUACGUUCGUUAAGAUGAAUUCAAAAAAUAGGAAUUAGUUGUCCAGUUUAGGGCGGACAUUCAAUUAAUUCAAAAAAAACGUAGGAAAUUAAUACGGGGGGGAUAUCUAACAAAAGAUAUUAUAGCCCUCGCCUAAAGCUUAUGGAUUUAUUAAAGUAACGGCCUCUAAGUUUACUAACCUAAAGGAUUAAACGAUGAGUAAAGCUUACCUACAAAGUAACAACAUCUUCUUGCUCGGCGAUAAUAUUUAUACGCUCCAGCGCUUUUUCGAAAAAGCGCUGGAGCGUAUAAAUAUUUACACUCAGUAAGAAAAGUGAAGAAGGUUCUGGAAAAACUUGUAACAAGUAAUGUUUAUUUUAUCAUUUUAAAUAUACUAAAACAUAUGAAGAAUGACGAAAUAAGGCUAAAUAAACCGUACCUAAAUACUACCACAAGUAAGCAAGUAGAGAAUACGAAGGCGUUUGAGUGAACAAUCAUUAAGGAACUCGGCAAACUAACUACCGUAACUUCGGGAUAAGGAGAGCCAUUCUUACUUAUUAGUAUAAGGUAAAGAAUAGGAAGCAUGGAAUAGUGUUGUACGACUGUUGUGCGCCGUUUAAUUAUAUAUACGCCCGUAUGUAAGUAGGGAUAAGAGUUGAAAAUCAAGUAAAAAGAAACUUACUCUUAUCCACCUUAUAUACCAGAUAGUUUUCGAAAUCUGUAAAGCAUUGUACUUAUCCUCGACCAUAAAGGGUGUCAACCUAGGUCUUGUAAACCUCGUAAGAGGGAGGGGAGUGUAGCAUGUACAAAAAGUGAGAGGAAGGCUCUGAGGAUGCGAAGACUUAAGAAAUGACAACCUACUUGCGAGCUAAAGAUUACAUGGCUUAAUGAAGAAAAGUUUUGGUCCGGAUUGUGCACCGGGUUGGAUAGAAUGGUUAAUGGACCAUUCAUGCGCAUCUACAAGCCAAUUGAGGGUACUUUUGUUUAUUGAACAGUGAAACAAAGGAGGGAACUACUCUCAACCAAGUAACAGAGUGAAUACUUGAAAACUACAAUCAUCAAAAUUGAUGAAAGUGAAAGCCUAAAUAAUCACAAAGACGUAUAUAUAAGAACUCGGGAAAUCUUUAGACUUGUCAUGUCUUCAAUCCAAUCUGGAUUGUCGAUUAUUUAUAUAUUACAAUUAUUAAGAAGUUACAUUAACUUGAACAAUUUCCCUAGAAGUAGUCCUUCAGUAUAGAAAUUGAUAAGAUACAGUCGGGCAUAAAAACUUCUAGAGGUUUAAGGAAAAAUUCUUGUAGACCCAACCCUCGAAGGGUUAAACUUUGACCUGGGGCUGACCCCCCCAUGUUAAAGGGGACAAACCUUAAAUUAUUGAAGGUGAAUGAGCUAGUGAUAACAUCGAGAACAUAGAUAUGAAGAGCUUAUGCCCUCGUCGAAUUUUAAAAAUGUGCCCUGGUUGUAAAUCUCCCUGAGGUUAAGACGUUCUCCAUCAAGUUAACGAGAGCUAUCAUACUCUGGGAAGCCCGAAGUAGCGGAAUACCGAUGAGGGAGGGAGUCUGAACUGAUCUUCCUCAGCAACGUGAAUCGUGAGAUAAAAGGCCUCCGAUAAGGGACAGUCAGCUAUAAAGAUUAAAUUUUCGGCGAAUGAGCACGACUUAGAGUUACCUAAGACACUCUCUUACACUAGAUUUCAUUCUGCUCGCAAUAAAAAUACUCAUUCAAAUUAUAAGUAAGUCAACUACAAUACAAAUAAAUCAGAACUAAUUAACCAAAUAGACAUCAAGGAAAGAUUAAUCCUACAGAGCGAUGGUAAAUGCAUCAAUGCGUUUAAUUUAAUCUCUAGUCCUGAAAUGCUAAUUGCGGCUUAUUCAACUAUAAAAAGUAAACCAGGUAUGAUGACAAAAGGUUCGGACGAGAUUACUCUUGACGGUAUCAGCAAAGAAUGAUUUGAAGAGCAAAGUAAGAUAAUCCAGUCUGAACAAUAUCAGCCUAAACCUUCUCGUAGAGAAUUUAUACCAAAACCUAACGGAAAAACAAGACCAUUAGGAAUAAGUUCACCUAGAGACAGAAUUAUUCAACAAUCGAUGAAAAUGGUGAUGGAAUGUAUGAUUGACCCUACAUUUUUAGACAGUUCACAUGGUUUCAGACCCCGAAGGAGCUGUCACUCCGCCCUCAAAGAAAUCAGAAGCUGAAAAGGGGUGACUUGAUUUAUUGAAGGAGAUAUUAAAGCCUUUUUCGAUAAUAUUGAUCAUCAGAUUUUAGCCCAACUGAUUAACAAACACUUUAGAGAUACUCGUUUGUUGAAUCUGUAUUGAAAAUUCGUUAAAGCAGGAUACAUGGAAUGAGAUCAAAGAAAAAUUAAAUAUGUAGCAUCAGAUGUAGGAGUACCACAAGGUGGUAUCGUUAGUCCAUUAUUAUCUAACUUAAUCUUACAUGAACUAGACGUAUAUGUGAAGGAACUAAGUGAUGGGUUUGAGAAUCUGAGAACUGAUCAAAAAAAAUCUCUAAUGAACCCUAAGUAUCUGAAAGCGGUUCGAUUAGUAAAAAAACUAAAAGAUAGUCUUAAAGAUGUUAAAAAGGGUAGUGCUGAAUAUCGUCUUACAAAACGUAAAAUUAGAUCGGCAUUAUGCGCUCAAAGAACUCUAAACUCACAAAUCCCUCAUCCCAAACUUCACCCUACAAUCAAAUACGUGCGUUAUGCAGAUGAUUGACUGAUUGGAGUUUGAGGUGAUAAAAAGUUUGCUGAUAUGAUAAAGAAUAAAAUGAGAACCAAAUUGGAAGAACUAAGAUUAACUCUCUCAGAAGAAAAAACCUUAAUUACUAACGCCAGAACUGAAAUGGCGAAAUUCCUAGGAACCCAUAUAAAGAAAUUUGCAACUAACAGAGGGACUAUAUUCGUAAAGAACAAGUCUAGUAAACAACUUGUUAGGAUUCCAGGUGGAAAUAUUAGAAUGACUGCACCUAUAUCUUCUAUCAUAAAAAAACUUGAACAGAAAGGUUUCUUAGUCGGUUCAUCUACCAAAUGGGAGAUGAAAUCGAUCUGAAAAUUCCUACCUCUGCCAAUGAAAGAUAUAAUACUAAGAUAUAGAUCUGUUUACCAUGGUUACAGUAACUUUUAUAGUUUUGUAGAUAACAAGAAGAUGUUCUCAAAGAUAUAUUGAAUUCUCAAAAUUAGUUUAAGAAAGACGCUAUCGAGAAAGUUUAAUGUCAGUAAACAUAGACUGACAAAAAAAUAUGGACAGCAUCUCAACUGUAACUAUCAAACAAGUCAGGGCAUAAAUAAAUAUAUUAACUUCCAAUUCCCUCCGUUAACGAGGGAUCCAAUGGCAUUCAAAGUUGGUAACAUAGAUUUCAAAGACCCAUUAUACGCGGGUUUAUGGAAUGUUAGAUCUAUAAAUGGCCUACAUGAAGUUUGUGCUAGUUGUGGUACAGAAUCAGGAAUUGAAAUGCAUCACUUAAAGCACAUUAAAACAAUAAACCCAAGACUUAAUAGCUUUGAUAAACUCUUAGCCAGAAUUAACAGAAAACAAGUUCCGCUAUGUAACGAAUGCCAUCACAAAGUACACGUAGGAAAAUACGAAGGGACAUCUCUAAGAUUCCUAGCAGGUAAAGGAAAAAAUAAAAACAUUCUUUAAUCCUGACUAAUAUCGGCAAGAAUUACCUUAGUACACAAACAGGAAGUUUAAGUCUAAUAAACUUAAACAUGGUCUUAUAAAGUUUUUGCUAUAACUGAUAAUUAAAUAUAUAAUAUAAUCGAAUAAUCGAAAGAAAGAAGAUACACAUAAUUUUGAAUUAUGAUAGAGAUCUCGGAAACUCCAUAUUAGUUGAGUGAAGAUACAUUCAAUGAAGGGGGUUAGCCUGAACAUAAAUUAGUACACAAACCUAUUACAGCAUGGAGCAGGACAUUCAAGUUUUACUGGAUCUGCUCAUCUAUCUGUGGUUAGUCACUGGUACACAACCAAGUCAGUGUCUCUUAUUUCUCCUAGAUAUGUCUUUACGACUUGAUAGGAGAGAUAAAAGAUAAAUUUCUGCAGAAUUCGCUAAUUCUUCGCGCUGACGUUUCAGGGGGAGAGCCGUAUGCAUUGAAAGGUGCACGUACGGUUCGGACGGGGGGUUCACUGAUAUGAGAUAUGGAUUAACGUUAAUUCAUACUUAAAUCGUAACUGGGUUCCUACCCUACUAAUUAAAACAAAGCACUUUGCAAUAAGAUAAUAAAUCAAAGUAUUGAGUGUGAUUUCUGCCCAAUGUCGGCUGGUUAACGGAUUUUCUGGGUUGACUAAUAUAAGCUUGGAUUUGAAGGAAACCCCGAUCAAUGGCGGCCUUACCUAUGAGGGUCCUAAGGUAGCGGAAUACCCUGGCCGUUAAAUGCGGUCUUGCAUGAAUAGAAAUCAAUCUAUUCCUAAUUCAACAGUGGCAUUAUAACGAUAUUAGUAAUAACUUAAAAGAAUGUGCCCUGCUUAGUAACCGGUACACGUGCGACUUCAUACCUAUAGAUGUAUGAGAUGUGGUUAUCAUCUUAGAAAAAGGGAACUAUCCGAAAAGCUACUUAAAAAUCCUAUUUUGAAACAGGUAGGAGAGGAAACUUGGUGCUAAAACAUGACGCAUCUGAACUAAGUAGAAAAUAACUAUGGACCUAAAUGUCAAAAGCGUUGAAUUUUUUUAAGUAAGACGCACACUUUAUUUUUUUCCUUUUUUUUUUUUAUAGUUUAAUUGUUAAAUAAUAAUUAAAUUAUAAUAAAAAAAAAGGAAAAAAAUUUAGAACUCUAAGGUAACCCCUAUUAAGUUUAUUAUUAUUAUUCUCCUCUUAGCAUUAUAACCCCGUGGAAGCAGAGGAGGGGAAUGUGGGCAAAAAAAAAUAUAAAAAAAAACAAAAACAUGAAAAAUCCAAAAUCGAUAACCAAAUUAAAUAGAUGCUUCUCCAGUUGACCCUCAAUAUUAGGCAGAGAUGGACCUAUGUCUAAUGCGUAUCGUUUAGCUAUUCAAUAUAUUAAUGAAAGUAGACCUAUAACAGCGGUUGAAGUUAAUAAAGUUUUAGCUUUUUCUGGUAUUAGUAUUAGUCAGGACAUGUUAAAUAAAAUACUUAGUAGACCACGACUAGAUUUUUCCGAUCUAGACUCAAAUACUAUAAAAACAGAAAAAUUCUUACAAACAAUUGGUACAGUAAGAGGUAAGGUUCAAUUACCUGGUGUUUACAUUUGAACACAUUUAGUUACAGGUGACAUGUAUGUUGGAUCAUCUUCUAAAUUAGCUCGUAGAUUAAUAGGUUAUUUCAAGAAUAACCAUAAAGAUACUGGUAAGCUAAUACCUUUAAUUAAAAAAGAAGGUGUGGGUGCUUUUAAAUUACAAGUUAUACCUUUAACAGAAUUUUAUCAAGUGAAUCAAGAACUUUGUUUAGAACAAUACUUCUUGUUACAACCUAAAUUUAAUCUUAACACACUUAGAGUAGUUAACGAUUAUUCUGGCGCAAGAGCCAUACCUUUAUACAUGUACACUAAGGACUUGUCAGAAUUGAUUUACUCUUCAAACAUCCAAGAGGACUUUAUAUUUAAAUUAAAAGUACAUUAUAGUAUCUUUAGCAACAGCUUAAAAACAGGAGCAGUUUACCUUGGUAAAUAUGUAUUCACAGAUAAGCCUAUUAUUGGAGCUAAAGAAAGCAAUAUGUCAGAAACAGAUAUAAAUUUCAUGUUGGAUAAAGAUAGGUUGGAAAUACAAAAAAGUAAGAGUAGAAAAGUAAUUAUAAAAGGUAUUGAAGGAAAUAAGGAAACUAUGCUGUUUGAUAGUAUAAGUAGUUGUAUAACUUUUCUUAACAAAAUAGCACCCUCUAAUAAAACAACAUUAUGUAGACACAUUGAAUCAGGAAAACCCUAUAACGGUUACCUGUGUCAAUGAGAUACUGUAAUUAAUGUUGCUAGUUCUAUUAAGGACAAAAGUAUAGAAAUCCAAGUAACUCAUAUACCGUCUGGUUCAACCGCUAUAUACCCUUCUUUUAGAAAGGCAGCUUUAUCUUUUGCACCAGAUUUUAUAACUACUGGACAAACUCUUAAAGCUUUUGCUGAAAAUGGUAAACUUUUUCAGGGAGAGUUUAAAAUAAGUAUCUUAAAGGAUAAGCAGUAAUUGCCCUUUAUUAAGCUUAUUAUUUAUAUUUUAUCAUCUAUUAAAGGAUACGUCCCUUAUAAUGAUAAGCACACAAAAUUUAUGCCAGCCUAAUUAGGAAAUAGAAAAAUCAAGCCUAGGAAACUUGAUUUUUGUGCAAUAAAGAGGCAAACUCCGGGGACACCCUAAAGCUUCUGGUACCAAGCUAUAGUUGAAAAACUAUAUGUGGCUGAAUUAAUUACUCAGGUUUUUGUUAGGUUAUUCAAUGAAUAACCUAAACAAUAAGGUAACAAGUCAGAAGAUGAGUGAAAACGAAAUGGGUUAUCGCGGAUCUAAGUCAGAUAAUAUAUCUGUAAAAGAGCAACGAGCGGAUGCUUCUUCGUAGAUACUUAAAAAUAAGUAUUAAUUUACGUAAGGUGCGCUCUAGUCGCCACGAAAGUGGUUCUUAAGCCAAAUAUAAGUAAUUUAAGAUUAAAGAUAUCAUAAUAACCUAACCUAAAGAUAAUAUCAAAGGUAAAAUUAUGAAACGGAAUGAUUUAACGAUACAACAGCUGUCUCAAUGAUUGGCUCAGUGAAAUUGGAAUAACUGUGCAGAUACAGUUUACCUCUAGAUAGACGAGAAGACCCUAUGCAGCUUUACUGUUGCUAGUUAUUGAAUAUGAUUGAACCAAUAUUAGUGUAUAAGGUAGUUGGAGGCAAUUUUUUAAACCUCGUUCAGGCAAAAUUGAAACACCUUUAUUUUGUUUAUCAUAUUCGUAGGCUAUAGAGUCUACGUCAUAAUAUAAGGUGCGUUAUUAUUACGUUAUUAAGUAUUAUAAUUAACCCAUCAUAAGGGAACAAUGGCUAGGAGGCAGUUUAUGCGGGGCACAGAUCCCAUAAAAAGUACCUGGGUGUAUCCAAAGUUAAUUUUGUAAAAUUGUCAUGACUUACUUAUGACAAUUAAAUAUACAAACUGUAUAUUUUUUUUUUUAGUUUGUUAUUGGUUUAGCUUAAGCUAAAACUAAUCCAACUAUAUAUCUAUUAAGUUAGAAUUAAUAUUUUAAUUUAAGUAAGAUUUUAACUAUAUGGAAAAUAGAUGUAAUUAAAACAUUAAUUUGAAAAUACUUUUCUAAUGUGUAAUUAUAAAAGGUAUUGAAGGAAAUAAGGAAACUAUGCUGUUUGAUAGUAUAAGUAGUUGUAUAACUUUUCUUAACAAAAUAGCACCCUCUAAUAAAACAACAUUAUGUAGACACAUUGAAUCAGGAAAACCCUAUAACGGUUACCUGUGUCAAUGAGAUACUGUAAUUAAUGUUGCUAGUUCUAUUAAGGACAAAAGUAUAGAAAUCCAAGUAACUCAUAUACCGUCUGGUUCAACCGCUAU
rnacentral:rRNA from 1 species